rnacentral:lncRNA from 1 species
UGUCAUCUUGAAUGUGUGAGCUCGGAGAGAUUUCCCUUUAGAUUGUUCAAUGAACCAUUGGCAGAAUUGUGACCAAUCUUGUCCAGUGAAGUCUGCCACUCCUAGCCAUUGCAGUGUCUAGUAUCUCAACUGGGAAGUAAAAUUGCAAUGCAAGAAUAAAUGGUCUCUAGUUUCCAUUUCUUGCUGGCACAUAACGCAGAUGCCUGGUAUAUUCAGAUUCCAUUGCAGCAGUCUAUUCUUGGUAGGAAGUCUAUCUUGCNNN